GUACUCGCUUCGGCGGUAUAUAUAGUAAAAUUGAACAAUACAGCGUAGAGAAGCAUGCCCCCCUGCGCAAAGAUGACACGCAAAAUCGUGAAGCGUUCCAUAUAUUC